rnacentral:tRNA from 1 species
GGUUCUAUAGUGUAGCGGUCAUCACAUCGGAUUCUGAUCUCCUUCAGAAGCGAUUUCCGGGAACCCCGGUUCGAUUCCGGGUAGGACCU